rnacentral:rRNA from 1 species
ACACCGGCGGCCCGAGUGGUGAUCGUGAUUAUUGGGUCUAAAGGGUCCGUAGCCGGUUUGGUCAGUCCUCCGGGAAAUCUGAUGGCUCAACCAUUAGGCUUUCGGGGGAUACUGCCAGGCUUGGAACCGGGAGAGGUAAGAGGUACUACAGGGGUAGGAGUGAAAUCUUGUAAUCCCUGUGAGACCACCUGUGGCGAAGGCGUCUUACCAGAACAGGUUCGACGGUGAGGGACGAAAGCUGGGGGCACGAACCGGAUUAGAUACCCGGGUAGUCCCAGCCGUAAACGAUGCUCGCUAGGUGUCAGGCAUGGCGCGACCGUGUCUGGUGCCGCAGGGAAGCCGUGAAGCGAGCCACCUGGGAAGUACGGCCGCAAGGCUGAA